rnacentral:rRNA from 1 species
UGGGGAAUUUUGGACAAUGGGCGAAAGCCUGAUCCAGCAAUGCCGCGUGUGUGAAGAAGGCCUUCGGGUUGUAAAGCACUUUUGUCCGGAAAGAAAUCCUUGGCUCUAAUACAGUCGGGGGAUGACGGUACCGGAAGAAUAAGCACCGGCUAACUACGUUCCAGCAGCCGCGGUAAUACGUAGGGUGCAAGCGUUAAUCGGAAUUACUGGGCGUAAAGCGUGCGCAGGCGGUUUGCUAAGACCGAUGUGAAAUCCCCGGGCUCAACCUGGGAACUGCAUUGGUGACUGGCAGGCUAGAGUAUGGCAGAGGGGGGUAGAAUUCCACGUGUAGCAGUGAAAUGCGUAGAGAUGUGGAGGAAUACCGAUGGCGAAGGCAGCCCCCUGGGCCAAUACUGACGCUCAUGCACGAAAGCGUGGGGAGCAAACAGGAUUAGAUACCCUGGUAGUCCACGCCCUAAACGAUGUCAACUAGUUGUUGGGGAUUCAUUUCCUUAGUAACGUAGCUAACGCGUGAAGUUGACCGCCUGGGGAGUACGGUCGCAAGAUUAAAACUUAAAUGAAUUGACGGGGUCAUAGCUG